AUUGAACGCUGGCGGCAGGCCUAACACAUGCAAGUCGAGCGGAUGAAGGGAGCUUGCUCCUGGAUUCAGUGGCGGACGGGUGAGUAAUGCCUAGGAAUCUGCCUGGUAGUGGGGGAUAACGUCCGGAAACGGGCGCUAAUACCGCAUACGUCCUGAGGGAGAAAGUGGGGGAUCUUCGGACCUCACGCUAUCAGAUGAGCCUAGGUCGGAUUAGCUAGUUGGUGGGGUAAAGGCCUACCAAGGCGACGAUCCGUAACUGGUCUGAGAGGAUGAUCAGUCACACUGGAACUGAGACACGGUCCAGACUCCUACGGGAGGCAGCAGUGGGGAAUAUUGGACAAUGGGCGGAAGCCUGAUCCAGCCAUGCCGCGUGUGUGAAGAAGGUCUUCGGAUUGUAAAGCACUUUAAGUUGGGAGGAAGGGCAGUAAGUUAAUACCUUGCUGUUUUGACGUUACCAACAGAAUAAGCACCGGCUAACUUCGUG
rnacentral:rRNA from 1 species